GACGAACGUUGGCGGCGUGCUUAAUACAUGCAAGUCAACUGAAGCAGUGGUAGCAAUAUCGCUGUGGAGGUGGCGCACGGGUGAGUAACACGUAGGUAAUCUGCCUUCAGGUCUGGCAUAACUCCGGGAAACCGGGGCUAAUAGCAGAUGAUGCAGCGGCUCGACAUCGAGACAGUUGUUAAAGCUAUGGCGCCUGAAGAUGAGCCUGCGUCUGAUUAGCUAGUUGGCGGGGUAACGGCCCACCAAGGCAACGAUCAGUAGCUGGUCUGAGAGGAUGAUCAGCCACACAGGAACUGCGACACGGUCCGGACUCCUACGGGAGGCAGCAGUAAGGAAUAUUGAUCAAUGGGAGAAAUCCUGAAGCAGCAACGCCGCGUGAGGGACGAGGGGCUUUUGCUUGUAAACCUCUGUAGAGAGAGAAAAAAAUCCCCAUCUGUGGGACAUGAUGGUAUCUCAAAAGUAAGCCCCGGCUAACUACGUG
rnacentral:rRNA from 1 species